rnacentral:rRNA from 1 species
GUCUAUGGCCAUACCACCCUGAACAAGCCCCAUCCCGUCUGAUCUCAGAAGCUAAGCAGGGUCGGGCCUGGCUAGUACGUGGAUGGGAGACCACCUAGGAAGACCAGGUGCUGUAGGCG